GGAAGCGUGCCUGAACAACCCAAGGAUUACUUUGAUAGAGUAAAUCAUGGGGGCUAAAUUCCCCCCGCUCCCC
rnacentral:tRNA from 1 species